rnacentral:lncRNA from 12 species
GCCCCGAGUCAGGCUCCACACUCAGCAUGGAGUCUGCAUGAGAUUCUCUCCCUCUCCCUCUGCCCCUCUUCCCUCUUUUUCUGUCAAAUAAAAAAUAAAAUCUUUUAAGAAAUAGAAAUGCAAUAUAGCAUCAAGAAGUGAAAAAGUGCUAUGGAGAAAGUAAAGUGCAAAAGAAGGCAGAGAGGGUGAAGGCAUUAUUUUCGAUGGGUGGUCAAGGGUGGUCUCACCAGGGAGAAGGUAAGCCACCUGAAUGAAGGGGGGUGGCAUGUGUUCACGCAGCCUGAACGAGGUGGGGUGCAAAGAGGGAUGCACCUGUACUAUGUAUGGGAACUAAUGUAUUAGUCGUACACUGUCAUGUGCUCAAAUUACACUUUGGAGUAUUUUGUAAUAUUUGAAUAUUUGACAGCAAUUACUAUCCUAGUAUCAUAAAAUUUCUCAGAAGAGCCCUUUAGACAGAUGCCCUAUUCUAUGUUAGCAAUGUGUCCUAUUUUGAUAGGAGUAUAAGGAUUUUAGGAAGAAGAUCUCAUCCUCCCUACCCCGACCUCCUGGUCUCUUGGCAUGACCCUAAUCUGUCAGUACAAUCCAUUUAAGCACCAGAACAGAAAAAUGGCCAAGCCCCUUCCAUGCUCUGCGGCAAGGCUUCGGUGAUGAUUUCUGUCCCUUGCUCUUACAAGGACCAGGGUUAGGGAAAUGAGUGCUGAGUCCGGAGAUCAAAGCAUAGUCGCUUCCGUUCCACACAGCCCGACAGAAAACUGGGCAACUGGGAACCCCUCACUGUCUGCUGUUGUCCAGAUGGAAAGAACUGGGAUUAUGAAGAAAGCUGCAGAGUCUCCCCACCACGACCGUGCCCUUCUCUGCGUACGAGCUUAUUUCGUCAAGCCCUGGGAUGGUGUGAAUUUGGAUCUUCGCUGGAGGAAAGGAAACCUUAAAGUCUGAAGUGGGUCCCAGAGUCUCAGCUCUCCUCCUUCUUCCCAAAGCCUGGGAAUGAGCCUCUGCCUCCAAGUCCUGGCUCCCGGCCUCCCUAUUGACAUGCCCUCCUUUUCCUUCUCAAUCUUGGGUUCUCUGGGCCUAAGACAAGGCCAGCAUCACACCUCCAGCAUCAUCUCAAGUGAGAACAACAGAGUGCCGGAACGUUCCUCGGG